ACAGGCCUAACGAUACUCUCAUUUCUCCUGAUAAAACCUUCUCGAAUCCCCUGAUUCUCCAGGCAGUUGGCUAUGCCCUCCCACAGCCUGCCACAGUGCCUCUUCCCAGCAUCAUGUUUUAAAUGACUAUUUUGUGUGUGUGAUGAGUAGAAUAUGGUCCUACUUUCAAGGUGAUCACCUGUGGCCCCAGCGCCAAGCCCAGUGACCGGUGCGUAGUAGGUGCUCGGCAAAUGAUGGAUGUGAACACAAGUUUCAAACCACCUGUUGAAAGUCAAUAUGAAAGAUUUGGAAAGGAUCUGGAAGCUGGGGAUUGCUCUGCCUGGGAACAGGAGAGAUUAAGAGGCCUCAGAGAAGUGCUCCAGGAGGCAGAAGACUGCAUGCAAGAGACUGCACGAGGAAAGGUGCACAGUUCGAGUACGAAGCAGGGCUGCAGGAAGCGCUGUCUCAUGGGAAGACUGCAGGCGAAAGCAGGUGCCUGUGCUGAGGAACGUCAGUCUUCUCCUCUGCCUCCUUGUUUUAGAUAUGUGUUGGAUCAGACAGAAUGGAGUUUCUGGAAGCAUUCACAUCCAUGGCCCAGACGAAAAUUUAAAUGAUUGCUUCUUACUCUGUGACUUUGGAGCAGAACUUUGGAGCUCUACAAGGACAGCGGACUCUCCUCACAGAAGAGCCUUUUAGGGAUGGAGGUGUUAUGUUUUAGUCUGGCCAUGGAAGACAUGGAAAGGAGAGAACCCAAAGCAGUGACUUACAAUGCAGUAUGUAUUGAUGACCACCUACCAUACUGCUCAUACUGUGCUGGGUCUUGGAAAAUGAAAGAUGAAAAUGAAGAUGGCCAAGACACAGUUCUCAUCCUCAAUGGCUCCUGAUAAAGGAGAGACAGGCACAGAAAGAGAAUUUCCCACAGCCACCCUCAGCCCAGCUGAUGGUUCAGAGAAGACUUCUAGGAAGAACUGAUGUGAACAGUAUACCCUUUAACUCUAUCAAGUCCAUAAAAAAAAUCACAUAGGUCCCUUGAAGAACAAGAACUUCCAGCACACCUUAGAAGGUUCACCACCCACCAUGUAGACUGAAAGGAAGUAAAAAAUGUAUUUUCCAAAUUUUAUACCUUCUUGCCUGCUCUCCAAAAUAGUUCUCACUCCGACCCCAGGGACGGUGGGAAGCUUUCCAUAUCCUAUCACACUUUUCAAUAUGUUCCAUACUUUGGAUAGUGUUAUGGUUUAGCUCCGGGGUGUCCCCUGAAAGCCUCCUAUGUUUGACAGGUGGUGAGUCUUGGUGGAUCUGUAGCUGACUUGCUAUGAGGAGGUGGAGCCUGUUGGAGGUGGGUAACCAGGGGUGUAAUUUGCAAGAACAUAUCUCCCACCCAGCCUCCUCCUUUCACUCUGCUUCCUGGUUCCCAAGACUUGAUCCUAUGCUCCUUUGCUAUUGUGUUUCUGCCUUGGAGUCAACCAAUAAU